UGGGGAAUAUUGCACAAUGGGCGCAAGCCUGAUGCAGCAACGCCGCGUGAGUGAUGAAGGUCUUCGGGUUGUAAAGCUCUGUCUUUUGGGACGAUAAUGACGGUACCAAAGGAGGAAGCCACGGCUAACUACGUGCCAGCAGCCGCGGUAAUACGUAGGUGGCAAGCGUUGUCCGGAUUUACUGGGCGUAAAGGAUGCGUAGGCGGAUUUUUAAGUGAGAUGUGAAAACCCUAAGCUUAACUUGGGGACUGCAUUUCAUACUGGAAAUCUAGAGUGCGGGAGAGGAGAAUGGAAUUCCUAGUGUAGCGGUGAAAUGCGUAGAGAUUAGGAAGAACACCAGUGGCGAAGGCGAUUCUCUGGACCGUAACUGACGCUGAGGCAUGAAAGCGUGGGUAGCAAACAGGAUUAGAUACCCUGGUAGUCCACGCCGUAAACGAUGAGUACUAGGUGUAGGAGGUAUCGACCCCUUCUGUGCCGCAGUUAACACAAUAAGUACUCCGCCUGGGAAGUACGAUCGCAAGAUUAAAACUCAAAGAAAUUGACGGGGGUCAUAGCUGUUUUUCCU
rnacentral:rRNA from 1 species